UCUGGCAAACAUCCCUGAUGAUGAUCCGAGAACAUGCCAUCACAAUUUUGAUCCUAUGCAGAAGGGAUCUCAACAGUGAGGCCACUUCCUCAAUUUAGACAUAGAUCUGAUGGGGAAGGAAAUUUUCUCCAGAUUCCUGUUCCCAUGUUACUGCUCAGCAACCGAUCAUAGGACUUUCGAUUGCACAGAUUUUACGAACACGUAUAUCGCAUAUAUUCGGUGAGUCUUAGCGGAGUCGAGAUCGAACUCUUGCGCCUCAGGAUUGGAGUCCGAUUCUCUAACGAUUGGGCUACCACUGCCUUCCAGUUCCUUUUACCUACUGUAACUACUAUUACCUCCACCCACUACUACUACUUCUUCUACCAUUGUCUUAUGAUCUGAACUAUCGUGUUUUUACUUUUGACGUUGUAUUAUCAGUUUGUUUGAUUUUAAAAUCUUUAAUAUAAUGGAAGUCAAUAUCAAUCUAAAAGAUAACAUAUGGCUAAAUGUGAACAAGAACAUAAUGGCUUUCGUAUUUGUGCCCACGUUUUUAAUAUAUUCCUUUGGAAUUCACCACGUUCUUACUCUCAGACAAGCCAACUGUGCGACAGCAUCUUUCAUUGUGGGAGACAUCUUGUAGAAUAGAGGGGAUCCUGGAGCACUUCUUAGAACUGUACUGGCAUCCAUCUGCUUAUUUCUGCAGUACAGUGACAGCAGCAACUGUGUGGCUUUGAAUAGUUUUUUCAUUCUAUUCUUCAUGAUGUACGUCAAUGGAUUCGUGUACUACAUCGGUUUCAUGAGCUGUGGUACAUUAUUUUAUGCAUUAUCACCUUAUGUUAGAAUACCAAAUGAUAUUAACCUUCGAUCUAUUUCAGAAUUUAUGUAUAGAUUAUGCUGCUGUUUGUUUUGUUUCUAUCUCUCAUUAUUCUUCAUCGUGAAAACUGUAUUAGUGCUGCUUAUUCAAUACUUUAUUGGUAUAUUUAGGGAGUUUUUUAGAAUCAUCUUUUAAAAAUGCUUUAGAAUCGCUGUGCAUGGCUAAUAGAUGAUGCAAGUAUGUUGUACAAAGAUUUCCAAAUAAAUCACUUAUUUUUU